GUGCCAGCCGCCGCGUAAUUCCAGCUCCAAUAGCGUAUAUUAAAGUUGUUGUGGUUAAAAGGCUCGUAGUUGAACCUUGGGCCUGGCUGGCCGGUCCGCCUCACCGCGUGCACUGGUCCGGCCGGGCCUUUCCCUCUGUGGAACCCCAUACCCUUCACUGGGCGUGGCGGGGAAACAGGACAUUUACUUUGAAAAAAUUAGAGUGCUCCAGGCAGGCCUAUGCUCGAAUACAUUAGCAUGGAAUAAUAAAAUAGGACGCGCGGUUCUAUUUUGUUGGUUUAUAGGACCGCCGUAAUGAUUAAUAGGGACAGUCGGGGGCAUCAGUAUUCAACUGUCAGAGGUGAAAUUCUUGGGUCAGUUGAAGACUAACUACUGCGAAAGCAUUUGCCAAGGAUGUUUUCAUUAAUCAGGAACGAAAGUUAGGGGAUCGAAGACGAUCAGAUACCGUCGUAGUCUUAACCAUAAACUAUGCCGACUAGGGAUCGGACGGUGUUAUUCAUGACCCGUUCGGCACCUUACGAGAAAUCAAAGUGCUUGGGCUCCAGGGGGAGUAUGGUCGCAAGGCUGAAACUUAAAGAAAUUGACGGAAGGGCACCACCAGGGGUGGAGCCUGCGCUUUAAUUUGACUCAACACGGGGAAACUCACCAGGUCCAGACACAAUAAGGGAUUGACAGAUUGAGAGCUCUUUCUUGAUUUUGUGGGUGGUGGUGCAUGGCCGUUCUUAGUUGGUGGGGUGACUUGUCUGCUUAAUUGCGAUACGAACGAGACCUUAACCUGCUAAAUAGCCCGCAUUGCUCCGGCAGUGCGCUGGCUUCUUAGAGGGACUUUCGGGCUCAAGCCGAAGGAA
rnacentral:rRNA from 1 species